AUAUGAGCAUUGCUUACUUUUGCUGCACAAGGGCUUUUCAACAGGGCAUGGCAUUGCUUACCUUUAUGGUCUUCCUGGGCUUGUGGCCUAUGCAUGUUUUUGGAGUUCAGGAUCUACUUCUAUAUGGUGAGAGGAGGAAGGUCUGAAAUAGGUCUCUGAGGAUGGACUUUCUGAAAUUCGAGAAGGUUACUCAUGAGCUGUUGGAGAUGCUGGUGACUCUGGUGCCGUCGGAUACUAAAGGCCAGGCCUGUCGUUACAUUCUUUGGCAGGACUAGCGCCAACGUUUCAUCAUCGCUAACGAUUUUCCACGAGAUGGUGUCAGAUUAAUUGUAGAAUUUUGUGGGAUUCUGUACUUGUUUUAGGUAGGCGUGACAGUGUCACGGGUGCAACCACCAAUGUUUUACUGAGAAGCAGUUUUCACGUCAAUAGGUGGUGUUGUAUCGACAUUCUAAUUAACUAACAUGUAAUUCAGUGAUUGUAGGUUCCAAUCAAGAGAAACCCUUCCCAGUAUGCGAUGAAAUUGAUGAAUUUGCUUUCCAUA